GACGAACGCUGGCGGCAUGCCUAACACAUGCAAGUCGAACGGGGAUACGAGAGCUUGCUUUUGUAUCUUAGUGGCGGACGGGCGAGUAACGCGUGAGCAACCUGCCCUUCAGUGGGGAAUAACGUCUGGAAACGGACGCUAAUACCGCAUAACACAACGAAGCCGCAUGACUUUGUUGUCAAAGGAUUUAUUCGCUGAAAGAUGGCCUCGCGUCCCAUUAGCUAGUUGGUGAGGUAACGGCCCACCAAGGCGACGAUGGGUAGCCGGACUGAGAGGUUGACCGGCCACAUUGGGACUGAGAUACGGCCCAG
rnacentral:rRNA from 1 species